UACAGAGGUCCCGAGCGUUGUUCGGAUUCACUGGGCGUAAAGGGUGCGUAGGUGGCUGGGAAAGUUUGAUGUGAAAGCUUAGGGCUUAACCCUGAAAUGGCAUUGAAUACUACUUAGCUGGAGGUUUGGAGGGGGGACUGGAAUUCUUGGUGUAGCAGUGAAAUGCGUAGAUAUCAAGAGGAACACCAGUGGCGAAGGCGAGUCCCUGGACAACGCCUGACACUGAGGCACGAAAGCUAGGGGAGCAAACAGG
rnacentral:rRNA from 1 species